AAACUGAAGAGUUUGAUCCUGGCUCAGAUUGAACGCUGGCGGCAUGCCUUACACAUGCAAGUCGAACGGCAGCACGGGUGCUUGCACCUGGUGGCGAGUGGCGAACGGGUGAGUAAUACAUCGGAACAUGUCCUGUAGUGGGGGAUAGCCCGGCGAAAGCCGGAUUAAUACCGCAUACGAUCCACGGAUGAAAGCGGGGGACCUUCGGGCCUCGCGCUAUAGGGUUGGCCGAUGGCUGAUUAGCUAGUUGGUGGGGUAAAGGCCUACCAAGGCGACGAUCAGUAGCUGGUCUGAGAGGACGACCAGCCAC
rnacentral:rRNA from 1 species